rnacentral:rRNA from 1 species
GAUGAACGCUGGCGGCGUGCUUAACACAUGCAAGUCGAACGGAAAGGCCCUGAUUUUGCGGGGUGCUCGAGUGGCGAACGGGUGAGUAACACGUGAGUAUACUGCCCUUGACUUUGGGAUAACUCCAGGAAAAUGGGGAUAAUAUCGGAUAGGAGCUCCUGCUGCAUGGGGGGGGUUGGAAAGUUUCGGCGGUUGGGGCUGGACUAGAGGCUUAUCAGCUUGUUGGUGGGGUAGUGGCUUACCAAGGCUUUGACGGGUAGCCGGCCUGAGAGGGUGACCGGCGACAAUGGGACUGAGAUACGGCGCAGUCUCCUACGUUACGCAGCAGUCGAGAAUAUUGCACAAUAGGCGGACGCCUGAUGCAGCGACGCCGCGUGCGGGAUGACGGCCUUCGGGUUGUAAACCGCUUUCUCCUGUAACGAAGCGUGAGUGACGGUAAUGGGUAAAGAAGCACCGGCUAACUACGUG